AACGAACGCUGGCGGCAUGCCUAACACAUGCAAGUCGAACGAGACCUUCGGGUCUAGUGGCGCACGGGUGCGUAACGCGUGGGAACCUGCCCUUAGGUUCGGAAUAACUCCCCGAAAGGGGUGCUAAUACCGGAUAAUGUCUUCGGACCAAAGAUUUAUCGCCUUUGGAUGGGCCCGCGUUGGAUUAGCUAGUUGGUAGGGUAAAAGCCUACCAAGGCGACGAUCCAUAGCUGGUCUGAGAGGAUGAUCAGCCACACUGGGACUGAGACACGGCCCAGACUCCUACGGGAGGCAGCAGGGGGGAAUAUGGGACAAUGGGCGAAAGCCUGAUCCAGCAAUGCCGCGUGAGUGAUGAAGGCCUUAGGGUGGUAAAGCUCUUUUACCCGGGAUGAUAAUGACAGUACCGGGAGAAUAAGCUCCGGCUAACUCCGU
rnacentral:rRNA from 1 species